UGCCACUAAGGCAUGAUGGUUGGUUGUC
rnacentral:piRNA from 1 species